GUGAAGAAAGUAAAAAAGUAGUAAAAUAACGAAGCAGAAAGAUCUAAAAUUAUUCAUCAAAGAAAGAAUCGCUAUUGAAAGCUUUUGCCCAAAAUUCAAAAUCAGCUAAGACAUUUUGCCUAUAAAAAACUCUUUCAAGCUAUUAUUAAGAGUAGGUAGGUUAUUGUAAAACACGGUCGCUGCAAUGUUAAAAUCAAUAAAAAGAAAAUGAAAGAUUCCC
rnacentral:lncRNA from 1 species